rnacentral:rRNA from 1 species
UCCGGUUGAUCCCGCCGGAGGUCACUGCUAUCUGAAUCCGACUAAGCCAUGCUAGUUCCGUUUCUCGGAGCGAAAAGCUCAGUAACACGUAGUUAACCUGCCCUAUGGUCUGUUAUAAUCCCGCGAAAGUGGGGCUAACGACAGAUAGGUGAGUUUUCCUGGAAUGGUAUCUCACUGAACAUAGGAUGGGACUGCGGCAGAUUAGCUUGUUGUUUGGGUAAUGUCCAGGCAAGGCGAUAAUCUGUACGGGCCUUGAGAGAGGAAGCCCGGAGACUCAUUCUGAGACAAGAAUGAGGGUCCUGCGGGGUGCAGCAGGCGCGAAAAUUCCGCAAUGCACGCAAGUGUGACGGAGGGAUUCAGAGUGCUUCCCGUCAUGCGGGGAGCUUUUCUAUAGUCCAAAUCGCUGUAGGAAUAAGAGAUGGGUAAGACAGGUGCCAACCGCCGCGGUAAUACCUGCGUCUCGAGUGGUGAUCACGUUUAUUGGGCUUAAAGCGUUCGUAGCUGGUUCGGAAAGUUCUUAAUGAAAUCCCAUGGUUGACUAUGGGGCUUGUUAAGGAUACUGCUGGACUUGGGACCGGGAGAGGUCUGGGGUAUUGUUGGGGUAGGGGUUAAAUCCUAUAAUCCUUACAAGACCACCUGUGGCGAAGGCGCCAGACUGGAACGGAUCCGACAGUGAGGGACGAAAGCUAGGGGAGCGAAGGGGAUUAGAUACCCCCGUAGUCCUAGCCGUAAACGAUGCCCGUUAGACAUUGGAGUUCUUACGGGGGACUUCAGAGUCGUAGGGAAACCGUUAAACGGGCCGCCUGGGGAGUACGUUCGCAAGGAUGAAACUUAAGGGAAUUGGCGGGGGAGCACACAAGGGGUGGAGGCUGCGGUUUAAUUCGAUUCAACGCGAGGAACCUCACCAGAAGCGACAGCAGAAUGAAGGUCAGGCUGAUGGUCUUACCAGACAAGCUGAGCGGUGGUGCAUGGCCGUCGUCAGUUCGUGGCGUGAGCUGUCGACUUAAGUGUCGUAACGAACAAGACCCGCGCCCUAUAUUGCUACCAGGUUCUUUGAGCCUGGGCACUUAUAGGGGACCGCUGGCGAAGAGCCAGAGGAAGGGGCGGUCGACGGCGGGUCUGUAUGCUCUAAAUCUUCUGGGCAACACGCGGCCUACAAUGGUCGGGACAAUGGGACGCGACUCCGAAAGGAGGAGCUAAUCUCGAAACCCGAUCCAAGUCCGGAUCGAGGGCUGCAACUCGCCCUCGUGAAGCCGAAAUCCCUAGUAGUCGCUGGUCAUCAUCCAGCGGCGAAUACGUUCCUGCUCCUUGCACACACUGCCCGUCAAGCCAACCGAGUGGAUCUUUGGUGAGGCUCUGUCAUUUUGUCAGUGUCGAACCACGGGUUUGCAAGGUGGGCUAAGUCGUAACAAGGUA